GGAGUUUGGACCGUGUCUCAGUUCCAAUGUGGGGGACCUUCCUCUCAGAACCCCUACUGAUCGAUGGCUUGGUGGGCCGUUACCCCGCCAACAACCUAAUCAGACGCAUCCCCAUCCCAUAGCGGUAAACCUUUGGUAUAAUUCAGAUGUCCUAGUUAUACAACAUAGAGUAUUAAUCCGAUUUUCACCGGGCUAUCCUCUACUAUGGGGAAGGUUGGAUACGCGUUACUCACCCGUGCGCCGGUCGCCAGCAGAUCUAGCAAGCUAGAUCCCUGAUGCCCCUCGACUUGCAUGUGUUAAGCCUGUAGCUAGCGUUCAUC
rnacentral:rRNA from 1 species